rnacentral:rRNA from 1 species
GCAUAUCAAUAAGCGGAGGAAAAGAAACCAACAGGGAUUGCCCAGUAACGGCGAGUGAAGCGGCAACAGCUCAAAUUUGAAAUCUGGCCCCAGGCCCGAGUUGUAAUUUGCAGAGGAUGCUUUUGGCGCGGUGCCUUCCGAGUUCCCUGGAACGGGACGCCAUAGAGGGUGAGAGCCCCGUACGGUUGGACACCAAGCCUUUGUAAAGCUCCUUCGACGAGUCGAGUAGUUUGGGAAUGCUGCUCUAAAUGGGAGGUACAUUUCUUCUAAAGCUAAAUAUUGGCCAGAGACCGAUAGCGCACAAGUAGAGUGAUCGAAAGAUGAAAAGCACUUUGAAAAGAGGGUUAAACAGCACGUGAAAUUGUUAAAAGGGAAGCGCUUGUGACCAGACUUGCGUCCGGUGAAUCACCCAGCUCUCGCGGCUGGGGCACUUCGCCGGCACAGGCCAGCAUCAGCUUGCCGUCGGGGACAAAAGCUUCAGGAACGUGGCUCCUCUCGGGGAGUGUUAUAGCCUGUUGCACAAUACCCUUCGGCGGGCUGAGGUACGCGCUCCGCAAGGAUGCUGGCGUAAUGGUCAUCAGCGACCCGUCUUGAAACACGGACCAAGGAGUCAACCUUAUGUGCGAGUGUUUGGGUGUUAAACCCCUACGCGUAAUGAAAGUGAACGCAGGUGAGAGCUUCGGCGCAUCAUCGACCGAUCCUGAUGUUCUCGGAUGGAUUUGAGUAAGAGCAUAUAGGGUUGGACCCGAAAGAAGGUGAACUAUGCGUGUGUAGGGUGAAGCCAGAGGAAACUCUGGUGGAGGCUCGCAGCGGUUCUGACGUGCAAAUCGAUCGUCAAACAUGCGCAUGGGGGCGAAAGACUAAUCGAACCUUCUAGUAGCUGGUUUCCGCCGAAGU